GUGGGGAAUCUUGCGCAAUGGGCGAAAGCCUGACGCAGCCAUGCCGCGUGAAUGAUGAAGGUCUUAGGGUUGUAAAAUUCUUUCACCGGGGACGAUAAUGACUGUACCCACAGAAGAAGCCCCGGCUAACUCCGUGCCAGCAGCCGCGGUAAUACGGAGGGGGCUAGCGUUGCUCGGAAUUACUGGGCGUAAAGGGCGCGUAGGCGGACAGCUUAGUCAGAGGUGAAAGCCCAGGGCUCAACCUUGGAAUUGCCUUUGAUACUGGCUGUCUUGAGUUUGGGAGAGGUGAGUGGAACUCCGAGUGUAGAGGUGAAAUUCGUAGAUAUUCGGAAGAACACCAGUGGCGAAGGCGACUCACUGGCCCAAUACUGACGCUGAGGCGCGAAAGCGUGGGGAGCAAACAGGAUUAGAUACCCUGGUAGUCC
rnacentral:rRNA from 1 species